rnacentral:rRNA from 1 species
GGACUACUCGGGUUUCUAAUCCUGUUUGCUCCCCACGCUUUCGCGCCUCAGCGUCAGUCACGGACCAGGUCGCCGCCUUCGCCACCGGUGUUCUUCCCAAUAUCUACGAAUUUCACCUCUACACUGGGAAUUCCACGACCCUCUUCCGCACUCCAGCCCCCGCGUCUCGUGCGACACCCCCGGGUUGAGCCCGGGACUUUCACGCCCGACUGCGAGAACCGCCUACGCGCCCUUUACGCCCAGUCAUUCCGAGCAACGCUAGCCCCCUUCGUAUUACCGCGGCUGCUGGCAC